AAGUCGUAACAAGGUUUCCGUAGGUGAACCUGCGGAAGGAUCAUUAACACGUAUCCAACGUUAAACCCCCCUGUGAACCUUAAGCGCAGCUCUUGCAGCCUUGAUAAAAACAGCAAUCCUGGUAAAUCAGACAGAGAAAAGUCUUUGAUUCAUAACCUCUGUCUAAAAGGAUGCAAUCGAGCGCUGGAUUAAGUGGCUUGGUUUCCCCAAGCAGUUAGUAUUCUGAAAGUGUUGCUAAUUGUGUAAGGAUAGCGCUUUACGAUUGUUGUAGGCCGAACACCGACCGGCGACUCGGCCACCGGGCUCACGCCCCCUAAUCACGCCCAGCAUUUAUAUCUUCGGACGUCUCCACAACAAGUGCGCCGGAGCUUCGUCCAAUUCCGAACAACUGUUAACAAUGGAUAUCUUGGUUCUC
rnacentral:misc_RNA from 1 species